AGCGAACGCUGGCGGCAUGCCUAACACAUGCAAGUCGCACGGGGGGGCUUCGGCCUCCCAGUGGCGGACGGGUGAGGAACGCGUAGGGACCUGUCGAGGGGUGGGGGAUAACCGCGGGAAACUGCGGCUAAUACCGCAUGACGCCGCGGCGUGACAGCCGGGGCCAAAGGCGAAAGCCGCCCGCCGAGGGGCCUGCGUCCGUUUAGCUGGUUGGCGGGGUAGCGGCCCACCAAGGCGUCGAUCGGUAGCUGGUCUGAGAGGGUGAUCAGCCACACCGGGACUGAGACACGGCCCGGACUCCUACGGGAGGCAGCAGUGGGGAAUAUUGGACAAUGGGCGCAAGCCUGAUCCAGCAAUGCCGCGUGGGUGAAGAAGGUCUUCGGAUUGUAAAGCCCUUUCGGCGGGGACGAUGGUGACGGUACCCGCAGAAGAAGCCCCGGCUAACUUCGUG
rnacentral:rRNA from 1 species